GUGUUCACUUCAGCACCAUACAUGCUAGAGCUGGAACGAUGCAGAGAAGAUUCGCCUGGUCCCUGCACAGAUCCGUGAAGCGUUCCACAGUUUU
ensembl:snRNA U6 U6 spliceosomal RNA